UUACCUGAAAACAACAAUAUCGGCAACUGAUGCGACUGAGGCAUGUUGUUCUUGUUGUCUUGGCAAUGAGCUAGCGCUUCCUCCAUUGGAAGUGCUGAGACCGUUUCAGUGGUAAUAUCAAAAAGGCUAGAACGGCGUCGGCGGCGAUUGAGAUUGCUCCGGCGAAGAAAAUACUUUUGGGCGUGGCUUGCGACCUGCGUUGGAGUUCGAGU
rnacentral:misc_RNA from 1 species